CCUACGGGAGGCAGCAGUGGGGAAUAUUGGACAAUGGGCGCAAGCCUGAUCCAGCCAUGCCGCGUGAGUGAUGAAGGCCCUAGGGUUGUAAAGCUCUUUCGUCAGGGACGCGGUACCUGAAGAAGAAGCCCCGGCUAACUUCGUGCCAGCAGCCGCGGUAAUACGAAGGGGGCUAGCGUUGUUCGGAUUUACUGGGCGUAAAGCGCACGUAGGCGGAUCUUUAAGUCAGGGGUGAAAUCCCAAGGCUCAACCUUGGAACUGCCUUUGAUACUGGGGAUCUCGAGUUCGGGAGAGGUGAGUGGAACUGCGAGUGUAGAGGUGAAAUUCGUAGAUAUUCGCAAGAACACCAGUGGCGAAGGCGGCUCACUGGCCGAACUGACGCUGAGGUGCGAAAGCGUGGGGAGCAAACAGGAUUAGAUACCCUUGUAGUC
rnacentral:rRNA from 1 species